UGGGGAAUAUUGGGCAAUGGGCGAAAGCCUGACCCAGCAACGCCGCGUGAAGUAUGAAGGCCGUCGGGUUGUAAACUUCUUUGAUCAGGGAAGAAACAAAUGACGGUACCUGAAAAACAAGCCACGGCUAACUACGUGCCAGCAGCCGCGGUAAUACGUAGGUGGCGAGCGUUAUCCGGAUUUACUGGGUGUAAAGGGCGUGCAGGCGGGCUGAUAAGUCAGAUGUGAAAUCCCCGAGCUUAACUCGGGAACUGCAUCUGAUACUGUUGGUCUUGAGUGCUGGGGAGGUUAGUGGAAUUCCUAGUGUAGCGGUAAAAUGCGCAGAUAUUAGGAGGAACACCAGUGGCGAAGGCGGCUAUCUGGACAGUAACUGACGCUGAGGCGCGAAAGCGUGGGUAGCAAACAGG
rnacentral:rRNA from 1 species